UACGUAGGGGGCCAGCGUUGCUCGGAAUUACUGGGCGUAAAGGGUUCGUAGGUGGUGUGGUAAGUUGGGAGUGAAAUCUCUGGGCUUAACUCAGGGGCUGCUUUCAAAACUGCCGUGCUCGAGUGCGAGAGAGGCCAGUGGAAUUGCAGGUGUAGCGGUGAAAUGCGUAGAUAUCUGCAGGAACACCCGUGGCGAAGGCGGCUGGCUGGAUCGCAACUGACACUGAGGAACGAAAGCGUGGGUAGCAAACAGG
rnacentral:rRNA from 1 species